rnacentral:rRNA from 1 species
GACGAACGCUGGCGGCGUGCCUAACACAUGCAAGUCGAACGGAAAGGCACUGCUUUUGUGCGGUGCUCGAGUGCCGAACGGGUGAGUAUCACGUGUGUAACCUGCUCUUGUCUUUGGGAGAACUUCAGGUAACUGGAGUUAAUCUCGGACAGCAGCUCCUGUACCAUGGUGGGGGUUGGAAAGUUUCGGCGGUUGUGGAUGGACGCGCGGGUAAUCAGUUUGUUGGUGGGGUAGUGGCUUACCAAGGCAUUGACGGGUAGCCAGCCUGAGAGGGUGACCGGGCACAAUGGGACUGAGGGACGGACCAGAGGGCAACGGUGGGCAGCAGUGGGAAACAUUGCCCAAUGGGCCGAAGCCUGAUGCAGCAGCGUCGGGUGCGUGAUGACGGUCUGCGGGGUAUAAACCGCUUUCGCCUGUGACGAAGCGUGAGUGACGGUAAUGAGUAAAGAAGCACCGGCUAACUACGUG